rnacentral:rRNA from 1 species
UACGAAGGGAGCUAGCGUUGUUCGGAAUCACUGGGCGCAAAGCGCACGUAGGCGGAUGUGUCAGUCAGGGGUGAAAUCCCGGAGCUCAACUUCGGAACUGCCUUUGAUACAGCACGUCUUGAGUCCGGAAGAGGUGGGUGGAAUUCCUAGUGUAGAGGUGAAAUUCGUAGAUAUUAGGAAGAACACCGGUGGCGAAGGCGGCCCACUGGUCCGGUACUGACGCUGAGGUGCGAAAGCGUGGGGAGCAAACAGG